CCUACUGGUGGCUGCAGUGGGGAAUAUUGGGCAAUGGGCGCACGCCUGACCCAGCAACGCCGCGUGAAGGAAGAAGGCUUUCGGGUUGUAAACUUCUUUUCUCAGGGACGAAGACAGUGACGGUACCUGAGGACUAAGCCACGGCUAACUACGUGCCAGCAGCCGCGGUAAUCCGUGGGUGGCAAGCGUUAUCCGGAUUUAUUGGGGGUACAGGGCGUGUAGGCGGGAGCGCAAGUCAGAUGUGAAAACUCAGGGCUCAACCCUGGGCCUGCAUUUGAAACUGUGUGUCUUGAGUGCUGGAGAGGAAAUCGGAAUUCCGGGGGGAGGGGUGAAAUGCGUAGAUAUACGGAGGAACACCAGUGGCGAAGGCGGAUUGCUGGACAGUAACUGACGCUGAGGCGCGAAAGCGUGGGGAGCAAACAGGAUUAGAUACCCGGGUAGUC
rnacentral:rRNA from 1 species